rnacentral:tRNA from 1 species
GACCGUGUGGCCUAAUGGAUAAGGCGUCGGACUUCUAAUGACAUCCGCCGGUUCGAGUCCCGCCUCGGUUA